UGCAGGAGUCAGUCCCAGUCAGGACACAGCAUGGACAUGAGGGUCCCCGCUCAGCUCCUGGGGCUGCUGCUGCUCUGGCUGCCAGAUGCCAGAUGUGAUAUCCAGAUGACCCAGUCUCCAUCCUCCCUGUCCAAAUCUCAAGGGGACAGAGUCACCAUCACUUGCAAAGCCAGUCAGAACAUUUACAGCAAUUUGGCCUGGUAUCAGCAGAAACCAGGGAAAGCUCCCAGGCUCUUGAUCUAUGCUGCAUCCAGUUUGCAAACUGGGGUCCCAUCGAGGUUCAGCGGCAGCGGGUCUGGGACAGAUUUCACUCUCACCAUCAGCAGCCUGGAGCCUGAUGAUGUUGCAAUUUAUUAUUGUCAGCAGUAUAGCAGUUCCCCUCCCACAGUGAUACAGGCCAUAACAAAAACAACCCAGGGAAGCAGAAGUGUGA